rnacentral:rRNA from 1 species
GUGAACAACUCACCUGCCGAAGUAACUAGCCCUGAAAAUGAAUGGCGCUCAAGCAUCCUCUCGAUACUCGAACGUCGGGGCAGUAACGGCUUGUGUGGGUCUCGAAGCCCCGACGAGUAGGAGGGUCAUGGCGGUGAGUGUUGAAGGGACCGGCAUGAACUGGCCUGGAGCCACAUUAGUGCAGAUCUUGGUGGUAGUAGC